AGCGGCCACGGCUCGCGAGCCGCCUCCGCCCAACUUUCUCCCUCGGCUUUCCUAGUUUAUUUUCUUUCAGGCGCCCUAAUGGGCGGUUUUGACUUCUUGGUGGCACUGCGUAAUAAGCCAGUGUCACCCCUCUGACUCCCGUCCCCGCACGCGUGAUCUUGUUAAGGAAUUAGUCCUUUUGCGCGGAGUUCGGUUGAAUGAGAAGAAUAGGUUGGCAGCACAGACUUGUGAGAGGAAGUAGAUGAAAAAGAGUCUUUGGCACUUGUUUAGCCGGAAUCUGAGAAUAAUUUUGGAAAGUAUUCUCUGGAACAAGGGGGUGGGCAGAAGCUGGCUCCUGUAAAAGGACUCCCUACAGGAAAACGGAGACCUGUAAUGUAGAACGACCGCCUCGCCUUACGGAUGGGAAGUUGAGGACAGUCGUCGCUGUAAAACUUUGACAGGUGCCCAAUAUGAGAUGAAAAGAACAAGGGAAACGGGCCUAAGUCGUGUGAUAAGGGGCUCCAGGAAAGAAGCACACCUCUGAAACUGGCCAGUAAGUCGUGUGAGACAGUGAUGGAGAAGACAGUAUGAGAAACAUGAAAGUUUUCGUUGUCUAAAAGGUAAUGUUGACAGAAUUCAAUAAAAAACUUUAAAAGAG
ensembl:lincRNA 4930426I24Rik RIKEN cDNA 4930426I24 gene